AAUGGGGGAAACCCUGAUCCAGCCAUCCCGCGUGAGUGAAGAAGGCCUUCGGGUUGUAAAGCUCUUUCGAAAGUGAAGAAAACUUAUUUCGUAAUAUGUUAUGAGUAUGACGGUAACUUUAGAAGAAGCACCGGCUAACUACGUGCCAGCAGCCGCGGUAAUACGUAGGGUGCGAGCGUUAAUCGGAAUUACUGGGCGUAAAGCGUGCGCAGGCGGUUUUGUAAGUCAGAUGUGAAAUCCCCGAGCUUAACUUGGGAACUGCGUUUGAAACUACAAGACUAGAGUGUGUCAGAGGGGGGUAGAAUUCCACGUGUAGCAGUGAAAUGCGUAGAGAUGUGGAGGAAUACCAAUGGCGAAGGCAGCCCCCUGGGAUAACACUGACGCUCAUGCACGAAAGCGUGGGGAGCGAACAGGAUU
rnacentral:rRNA from 1 species